rnacentral:rRNA from 1 species
UAGGGAAUCUUCGGCAAUGGACGAAAGUCUGACCGAGCAACGCCGCGUGAGUGAAGAAGGUUUUCGGAUCGUAAAACUCUGUUGUUAGAGAAGAACAAGGACGUUAGUAACUGAACGUCCCCUGACGGUAUCUAACCAGAAAGCCACGGCUAACUACGUGCCAGCAGCCGCGGUAAUACGUAGGUGGCAAGCGUUGUCCGGAUUUAUUGGGCGUAAAGCGAGCGCAGGCGGUUUCUUAAGUCUGAUGUGAAAGCCCCCGGCUCAACCGGGGAGGGUCAUUGGAAACUGGGAGACUUGAGUGCAGAAGAGGGGAGUGGAAUUCCAUGUGUAGCGGUAAAAUGCGUAGAUAUAUGGAGGAACACCAGUGGCGAAGGCGGCUCUCUGGUCUGUAACUGACGCUGAGGCUCGAAAGCGUGGGGAGCAAACAGG